rnacentral:rRNA from 1 species
AUUGAACGCUGGCGGCAUGCCUUACACAUGCAAGUCGAACGGCAGCACGGGUGCUUGCACCUGGUGGCGAGUGGCGAACGGGUGAGUAAUACAACGGAACGUACCUUAUCGUGGGGGAUAACGCAGCGAAAGCUGUGCUAAUACCGCAUACGCCCUGAGGGGGAAAGCGGGGGAGCGCAAGACCUCGCGCGAUUAGAGCGGCCGAUGCCUGAUUAGCUUGUUGGUGGGGUAAAAGCCCGCCAAGGCGACGAUCAGUAGCCGGUCUGAGAGGACGAUCAGCCACACUGGAACUGAGACACGGCCCAGACUCCUACGGGAGGCAGCAGUGGGGAAUUUUGGACAAUGGGGGCAACCCUGAUCCAGCAAUGCCGCGUGAGUGAAGAAGGCCUUCGGGUUGUAAAGCUCUUUUGUCAGGGAAGAAACACCGGCUCUAACACAGUCCGGGAAUGACGGUACCUGAAGAAUAAGCACCGGCUAACUACGUGCCAGCAGCCGCAGUAA